AUUGAACGCUGGCGGCAGGCCUAACACAUGCAAGUCGAGCGGAUGAAGGGAGCUUGCUCCUGGAUUCAGCGGCGGACGGGUGAGUAAUGCCUAGGAAUCUGCCUGGUAGUGGGGGAUAACGUCCGGAAACGGGCGCUAAUACCGCAUACGUCCUGAGGGAGAAAGUGGGGGAUCUUCGGACCUCACGCUAUCAGAUGAGCCUAGGUCGGAUUAGCUAGUUGGUGGGGUAAAGGCCUACCAAGGCGACGAUCCGUAACUGGUCUGAGAGGAUGAUCAGUCACCUUGGAGCUGAGACACGGUCCAGGCUCCUACGGGAGGCAGCAGUGGGGAAUAUUGGACAAUGGGCGAAAGCCUGAUCCAGCCAUGCCGCGUGUGUGAAGAAGAUCUUCGGAUUGUAAAGCACUUUAAGUUGGGAUGAAGGGCAGUAAGUUAAUACCUUGCUGUUUUGACGUUACCAACAGAAUAAGCACCGGCUAACUUUGUG
rnacentral:rRNA from 1 species